rnacentral:rRNA from 1 species
AUUGAACGCGGGCGGCAGGCCUAACACAUGCAAGUCGAGCGGAGAGGCGGAGGGGUGAGGAAUGCGGAGGAAUGUGCGUGGGAGUGGGGGAUAAGGUACGGGAACGGGCGGCAGUACCGCAGAAGAACAGCUGAGCAGUGGUCGGGUGAGCUAGUUGGUGGGUUAAAGGCCUACCAAGGCGACGAUCCGUAACUGUUCGGAGAGGAUGAUCAGUCACACUGGAGGGGAGACGGGGUCCAGACUCCUACGGUAGGCAGCAGUGGGGAAUAUUGGACAAUGGGCGAAAGCCUGAUCCAGCCAUCCCGCUUGUGUGCAGAAGGUCUUCGGAUUGUCAAGCACUUUAAGUUGGGAGACGUUACCAACUCCCUAAGCACCGGCUAAGUUCGUGCCAGCCGCCGCGGUAAUAC